UCGAUUCCCGGUUUGGACC
rnacentral:snRNA from 1 species